rnacentral:misc_RNA from 1 species
AUUUGAUGCCAGCUUUUUGUCUUCUCAAGCCAAUUUUAUGACAUUUGCAAUAAUUCCAAGCAACUGAUUUUCUUGCCUCUGAAGCAAUGAAAAUAAAAUAUAAUUUAACUUAGAUGUUUGAGAGAUCAUUGUUUCAGAUUUUUAAGGAGGCAAUUGAGUGAAACUAAAUCAACGCAGUCUGGUGUUUGUUUCGUCAUCUGUGUUAAAACUCUGUUGUGCGGUUAGGAGCAAUGGCGAGAGCAAACUGGGUUAUUGAGGUCAAUGAAAAGCUUGAGAACGUGAUGAAUAUUGAUAAUUCCAUGGAGGAAGAGCGCUGGAAGAAACGUGCAAUCUACAAAUUACCUGCAUGCGUCACAGACCUGAACAAGAAAGCCUACAGGCCUCAGGCAGUAUCGUUCGGUCCUUAUCAUCACGGGGAAGAUCAUCUGAAGACAAUGGAGGAGCACAAGCAUCGAGCCCUCCUUCAUUUUCUAAAAAGAGCAAAUAAGCCUUUACAAGUUUUUAUUGAAUCUUUAACUGAUGUGGUGCAGAUUUUAAAAGACUACUACUAUCCGCUUGAUAUGUCUUGGCAAGAAGAUACAGCUAGAUUUCUGCAAAUGAUGAUUCUUGAUGGCUGUUUCCUGUUGGAGAUCUUACGCAUAGGUACUCAUACAUUGGAUGACUAUGCUCCCAAUGAUCCAAUUUUUAGCAGUCAUGGGAAAUUAUAUAUCAUGCCAUAUAUCAUGCGUGACAUGCUGAUGCUUGAAAAUCAGUUGCCAUUGUUGGUUCUUGACAAGCUGAUAGCCGUUGAAAGCGGUAAAGAAAAGGAUGAAGAGUUUGUCAACAAUUACAUCGUCAAGUUCUGCUUUCCUAAUGAUCCUGUCUCAAGCCUAGGUAAGUGCUUGCAUCCACUGGAUGUGUACAGGAAGAGCUUGCUUCAAAAAAAUGUUGGUAAGGAAAAGCGUCGCAGCAGAUCACGAAGUAGACGCCAUAAAGAAGGUAGUAACAUUAUCCGGUCAGCAACAGAGCUCAAUGAAGCUGGAAUCCGGUUCAAGAAAAGUAAAACUAGAAGCUUAAAAGACAUCUCAUUCAAAGGUGGAGUCCUAAGGCUUCCAGUAAUUGUGGUGGAUGAUGCAACUGAGUCAAUCUUUUUGAAUUUGAUAGCCUUUGAGCGCUUCCACGUUGGUGCAGGCAAUGAGGUGACAUCCUACGUCUUUUUCAUGGACAACAUCAUUGACAGUGAGAGGGAUGUUGCCGUCCUGCACUCCAGAGGGAUCAUCCAGAACGCUAUUGGAAGUGACAAAGCUGUCGCUAAACUCUUCAAUUCUCUCUCUAAGGAUAUUACUCUCGACCCAAAUAGCAGCCUAGAUUAUGUGCAUAAGAAGGUCAAUGCCUACUGCAAGAAGGCUUGGAACGAGUGGCGUGCCAACCUCAUUCACACCUAUUUCAGAAAUCCCUGGGCCAUGCUGUCUCUUAUUGCUGCAAUCUUCCUUUUCGCCCUCACUAUUGUUCAAACUGUGUAUACUAUUUAUCCCUACUACCAUAAUAAUGAAUCCCCAUCACCCCCUCCUAUUGUGGUUUCCCCUACAUCCUCUCCUCCGAUGCCCUCUCCUCCUCCGCUUUCUUCAAAACCACCUUCACCUCACCCCCGCCAUUGAUUCCCAUCAUUCUGCUGGUGAAUCCUAUUGUUUUUCAUGGCCAAGUAUUGCUCUUUUGCUUGAUUGAGUCUUUUUUUUCUUCUUCAGUAUUUUCUGUUAUCAAUAAUAUUUGCAUUGAAUAUGCAUUUAUUUGCUGUUACAAAAAAUAUGAUUUGUUGUUGCAAAAGAAUGAGCCUGAAGAUAAGUUUUAUUUUGAUUUGCUAGCAAUUGUUUCUAUUUUAUGAGAUUUUUAUGCAGUUUGUUAUAUUUUGAGCUAUAUAAACACCAAGUUUGAUCAAUCAAAUUUCAU